AUUGAACGCUGGCGGCAUGCCUUACACAUGCAAGUCGAACGGUAACAGGUCUUCGGAUGCUGACGAGUGGCGAACGGGUGAGUAAUACAUCGGAACGUGCCCGAUCGUGGGGGAUAACGGAGCGAAAGCUUUGCUAAUACCGCAUACGAUCUACGGAUGAAAGCAGGGGACCGCAAGGCCUUGCGCGGACGGAGCGGCCGAUGGCAGAUUAGGUAGUUGGUGGGAUAAAAGCUUACCAAGCCGACGAUCUGUAGCUGGUCUGAGAGGACGACUAGCCACACUGGGACUGAGACACGGCCCAGACUCCUACGGGAGGCAGCAGUGGGGAAUUUUGGACAAUGGGCGAAAGCCUGAUCCAGCCAUGCCGCGUGCAGGAUGAAGGCCUUCGGGUUGUAAACUGCUUUUGUACGGAACGAAAAGACUCUUUCUAAUAAAGAGGGUCCAUGACGGUACCGUAAGAAUAAGCACCGGCUAACUACGUG
rnacentral:rRNA from 1 species